UAGAUACCCUAUUAUAAUUAAAGUGAAAAAAUACCAGAUUAUUAAUAGUUAUUUUCUUUAAAUUCAAAGAAUUUGGCGGUAUUUUAGUCUUCUUAGAGGAACCUGUUUCAUAAACGAUAGACCACGAAUAUCUUACCUAUAUUUUAGUUUGUAUACCGUCAUUAUUAGAUAACUUUAAUAAAAUUAGUUAUUAUAAUUAAUAGAAUUAAAUAAAUUAGAUCAAGGUGCAGCUUAUGAAUAGGAGUAAAUGGGUUACAAUAAAAGUUAUUUAAAUGGAUUUAUUAGUGAAAAGUUAAUAAUAAAGGUGGAUUUAAUUGUAAUAUUAUAAAUAAAAUUAGUUUGAUAAAAGCUCUAAAAUAUGUACAUAUCGCCCGUC
rnacentral:rRNA from 1 species